GAGGGUGUAGCUCAGUGGUAGAGGGCAUGCCUAGCAUGCAAAAGGUCCUGGGUUUGAGCCCCAGUACUUCCA
rnacentral:tRNA from 1 species